rnacentral:rRNA from 1 species
AGUAACGCGUGAGUAACCUGCCUUUCUAGAGGGGGAGUAACGUUCUGAAAAGAAACGCUAAUACCGCAUGAGACUACAGAGCUGCAUGGCUCAGUGGUCAAAGGAGCAAUCCGCUGAAAGAUGGACUCGCGUCCGAUUAGAUAGUAGGCGGGGUAACGGCCCACCUAGCCGACGAUCGGUAGCCGGACUGAGAGGUUGAACGGCCACAUUGGGACUGAGACACGGCCCAGACUCCUACGGGAGGCAGCAUG